GAUGAACGCUGGCGGCGUGCCUAACACAUGCAAGUCGAACGGAGAUUACGGACGGAAGUUUUCGGAUGGAAGCCUGUAAUUCUUAGUGGCGGACGGGUGAAUAACGCGUGGGCAACCUGCCCUAUACAGGGGGAUAGCAGCUGGAAACGGCUGGUAAGACCGCAUAAGUCGGUUAAAUCGCAUGAUUUGAUCGGGAAAUGAGCAAUCAGGUAUAGGAUGGGCCCGCGUCCGAUUAGCCAGUUGGCAGGGUAAAAGCCUACCAAAGCGACGAUCGGUAGCCGGACUGAGAGGUCGGACGGCCACAUUGGGACUGAGACACGGCCCAAACUCCUACGGGAGGCAGCAGUGGGGGAUAUUGCACAAUGGAGGAAACUCUGAUGCAGCGACGCCGCGUGAGUGAAGAAGUAUUUCGGUAUGUAAAGCUCUAUCAGCAGGGAAGAUGAUGACGGUACCUGACUAAGAAGCCCCGGCUAACUACGUG
rnacentral:rRNA from 1 species